UACGGAGGGUGCGAGCGUUGUCCGGAAUCAUUGGGCGUAAAGGGCGCGUAGGUGGCCCAGUAAGCGUGCGGUGAAAGCUCGGGGCUCAACCCCGAGUCGGCCGUGCGAACUACUGGGCUGGAGCACUGUAGAGGCAGGCGGAAUUCCGGGUGUAGCGGUGAAAUGCGCAGAUAUCAGGAAGAACACCCGUGGCGAAAGCGGCUCUCUGGAACGGUACUGACGCUGAGACGCGAAAGCGUGGGGAGCGAACAGG
rnacentral:rRNA from 1 species